ACCCACGACCUAGUACUUAAUACAGAAUACACAAUGAGGAGGGAACCUCUCAUGCAUUGCCCACUUGUUUCUGGCUGGAUGCCGAUCUGCUUGAACUAAGUAUACAGGGAAAAGGAUAUAAUAGGAAACAAUAGCAUCUCCUAACCCAUCAUCCCAUUACGUGUAUUAUGGAUAUACUGACCUGCAGAUUUGUGGCCUCUUGUGGAGCUAGGAGGACUGGGGAAAGACCACAUGAUGCUGAGAAAUUAUCCUGAAGAGAGCACUCAAAAGACAUGAUUGUGCACAGUUCGCAUUCUUCAGGAGAGGAAGCUCAUUGUUUCAGAAGAUCUUCCUGUCAAAUCUGUCAGAGGGCAUUGCAGGAACCUCCCCCCUGCCUGUGAACUGA